UCACGUGGGUUUGUUCUCCAUUCUUUGUUCUCCGUUCGUCGCCAUUCGCCAUUCUCUAUUCUCUGUGGGUUCGUUCAGAAGUCCAAUCUUCGAUUCUCCAUUCUCCGUGGGUUCCUCUCUCCUUUUGCUGCAAAAUUUUCAGGCUAGGCCAUCUCGAUUCUCAUCGUGGGUCUUCUGUUACUCUUCUUGGAUAAAUUUUCUCCUCUUUUUUUACAUGAUUUUCAAACUUUUUUCCUCUUUUCCUUUACUCUCUUCAUUUUUAAUUUUUUUUUUUUUUCUGAAUUGAACCUGGGUAGCUCUGUUCAUCAUUUUAUGUUUGGUGUUAUGUGUAUAUAUUUCUUUGACUGUUUUGGGUGGAUAUGUACAUAAGAGGUUGCUAUUGCGUGGUUGUUAUUGUGGGUUGUGGAUAUUUUUCUUCCCUGUGCUAUUUAAGCUCUAGAAGCAUUCUGAUUUGAACUCUUUUUUUAACUCUUCCCUGUGCUAUGUAAAAGAUAAUAUACAUAAGUAUUGCUUGUUCUUCAUUCUGAUUUGACAAAAAAGUAUGGUUGAGCAAACAUUCUUCCAUGAGAAGUGUUAAUAAUCAAUGCACUUUUUAUUCAAAAUGGAUUUGAGUCGGCUUUUUGUGCUAUUUAAUGUAGAAAAAACUUACAAACCACAAACCAAAUCAAUUUUUUAGCCUUACAAAACAAUUCUUGCUAAGGUCAAGAAUUUCCAAUAAGGAAAAACAUUUGAUAUCAUCAGGAAUGUCUUCGUCCACAAGAUUGCAAUCACUUAGAUUCAAAUCUCUAAUAGGCAAAACACCAUUGCUCCCAACCAAAUCCUUCAAUUACCACCAAAUAUUUCUUGAAAGCCUUUCACAAUUCAAAGUUUCAAGACUCCUUAAACAAACCAUAGCAUUUGGUGCUUGAUCUAUGAAUGUUCCUCCAAUGUCAAGCAUGGUAAGAGAUUGUAUUGUCCCCAAAGUGAAAAGAAUUUGGUGGAGGUUUUUGCAACCAUUCAAAUUGAGAGUUUGAAGUGAUAUCAAUUUACAAAUUGAUGUUGGAAGACUUGAUAGCUUAGUACAAUCCCUUAGGUUCAAUGAAGUUAAGUGAGCUAUAAGUCCAAAUGAUGAAGGAAGGUCUUGUAUCAAAGUUCCAUCAAGGUGUAGAGUUUAGUUUUAUGAUAAAAAAGAAAAUAAAAGACUUUUGUUCUCACAUUUUUUCUGUAGAAUUCUCUUGUCCUUUCUUAUCAUUUUUAGACACUUUGGAAAGGUUCUCAAUUAUAAAAGAAUAGAUAUUUUCUUCAAUGUGAAAUUUGAUGCAUUUGUAUUUUACCAUAUGCUUUACUUAUUGUCUUCUUUGAUGAUUAUUAGUUUAAAAUUGUGUGUUUUUUUGUUUGUUUUGUUUCAUGAUUAUUAGGACGACUUCAUUUUCUUUGGACGAAACUCCAAAACAAAGUUGUUCUAGUCUAGUGUUAGGAAAAAGAAAACCGGUUAAACCACCACCAUCAGUAUGAGAACAUUUUAUAAAAGUAGAAGGAUGUGAUCCUAGAUAUCCUAGGGUUGCUUGUAAACAUUGUGGGACUUCAUAUGCUUGUGAUUCCAAAAGAAAUAGUACAACUAAUUUAAAAAGACAUUUAGAGAAAUGUAAAAAGUGUGUAGAUCCAUUGGAAGAUAACGUUGAAGGAGAUGGAGAUUCUGAAAGUAGUUUAAUGGCUACAUCCUUCACUCAAGAAAAUUGUAGAACAAUGCUUUCUAGUAUAACCAUCUUGGAUGAAUUGCCAUUUAAAUUUGUAGAAAGUGAAGGAUUUCAUCAAUUUUGUCGGGCAUUAAAUUCAAAGUUUGUGAUUCCAUCAAGAGUAAUUGUUGCAAAGGAUUGUUUUCAGAUGUAUAUGAAGGAGAAAAAAAAAGUUAAAAAGUGUAUUAACUCAAAGUGCCAAAGAGUUUGUUUAACCACAGAUACAUGAACUUCUGUACAAAAUAUUAAUUAUAUGGUUAUAACGGCUCAUUUCAUUGAUGAUGAUUGGAACCUUCACAAAAGAAUUUUGAACUUUUGUCAAAUAGCUAAUCAUAAAAGAGAUACAAUAGGGAGAGCCAUUGAAAAAUGCUUAGAAGGAUGGGGUAUUGAUAGGCUCUUUACUAAAAUAGUUGAUAUAAUGCAAAUUUAAAUGAUGUAGCCAUUGCAUACUUGGUUAAAAAGUUUAGAGGCGGAAAUGUAUUGAUGUUGGAUGGUGAAUUUAUUCACGUUAGAUGUUGUGCCCAUAUUCUUAAUUUGAUUGUUAGUGAUGCCUUAAAAGAUUUGCAUGUGUCUAUCAUUUGAAUCAGAAAUGUUGUGAAGUAUGUUAGGUCAUCACCUGCUAGACUGCAAAUAUUUAAAGAUUUUGCUAAAGAAGAUAAAAUGUCAACAAAAAAUUGUCUUAAGAUGGAUGUUCCAACACGAUGAAAUUCUACUUUUACUAUGUUGGAUGGAGCAAUUAAGUGUCAAAAGAAGUUUGAAAGAUUAGAGGAGCACGACCCUAGUUAUUUGCCAAAAGAUGAUAUUCCUAUUGUUGAAGAUUGGGAUAAUGCAAAAGUAUUUGUAAAGUUUCUAAAAAAAUUUUCAGAGGUAACAAUUAAGUUUUCUGCAUUAAUGUCUGUGACUUCAAAUAUAUUUUUUCAUGAACUUUGUUUGAUCCAAGAAAUAAUUCGUUAAUACUCGUUGUAUGAGAAUGCAUUAUUGAGUCCGAUGACAUUAAGCAUGCAAACAAAAUUUAACAAGUAUUGGGGUAUAACUACAAGUGAGAAGACCAAUUUAUUAUUAUAUGUUUUUGUAGUUCUUGACCCUAGGUACAAACUGACUUAUGUGAAUUAUUGUUUUAAUGAAUUUUUGGAGGAAGAUAGUGCAAAAAUAUAGAAGAAUAAGGUUGAAGAAGCAUUUCGUCGAUUGUGUGAUGCUUAUUAUAUGGGAAUGUCAAUGUCAAAAGAAAAAUAUUCACAAACAAAAUCAUGUACUCCUAUCGAAUGAUUUAUGUUUCAAAGUCAAAGUGAAAUGCCUUCUAUCUCAUCGAGUGGAUCUUAUAAGACACGUGCUGCUGUUCAUGAUAGAUUUAAACAAAGCAACAAAACAUGUCUCGAUGAUGCUAAAACAGAGGUGACUCGUUAUCUAAAUGAGGCUCGUAUAAAAGAUGAAUAUUUAAACUUGCUAAAUUGGUGGAAGGUAAAUUCUUCUCAAUUUAAGAUCAUUAGCCAAGUAGCCAGGGACAUCUACAGUAUUCCUAUAUCAACUGUGCCUUCUGAGUCGGCCUUUAGCAUUGGAGGACGGGUGUUAGAUUCUUUUCGAAGUUCAUUAAUUCCUCAAAUUGCAGAAACACUCAUUUGUGCUCAGAUUUGAAUUCAAUUUAAACCUUUGGAUGACAUGACUGAAGAAAUUGAUGAAGAAUUCAUAAACAUAGGAAAAGAGAUGGAAGCUACAUUUGAUAAUCUGAAUUAUGACUAUAUGGUAUAAAUUCCUACUCUCAAAUCUAUUUACAUUAUUUUUUUUGUUAUAAAUUGUUAACAUCUUUGAAUCUCGUUUGUUUAGAAUCUUGAAGCACAAUGAUGUAUAAACUUUAGACUUUUCUAGUCCCAUCAUAGUAAGUCAUUUGCUUAACUUAUAAAUUAUUCUUUAAUUAUUUUUUUUCUAGAUAGUUCAGUGAAUUAGUAAAUUCUUUCUCUAUGCAAAGGGGAGAAGGUGGAAUGUUGGCUAGAUUUGUGACCAUAGACUAAUAGGUGAAAAGUUGAAUGUUGGAUACCCAUAUGGUUCUUUUGUUCUUUGUUCUACUCUCAAAUUUGAUCUAUCAAAGCUUGUAAAUUAUAACA